UACGUAGGGUCCGAGCGUUGUCCGGAAUUACUGGGCGUAAAGAGCUCGUAGGUGGUUUGUCGCGUUGUUCGUGAAAACUCACAGCUUAACUGUGGGCGUGCGGGCGAUACGGGCAGACUUGAGUACUGCAGGGGAGACUGGAAUUCCUGGUGUAGCGGUGGAAUGCGCAGAUAUCAGGAGGAACACCGGUGGCGAAGGCGGGUCUCUGGGCAUUAACUGACGCUGAGGAGCGAAAGCGUGGGGAGCAAACAGG
rnacentral:rRNA from 1 species